rnacentral:rRNA from 1 species
CCCUUAGAUGUUCUGGGCCGCACGCGCGCUACACUGAUGCAUUCAACGAGCCUAUCCUUGACCGACAGGUCCGGGUAAUCUUUGAAUCUGCAUCGUGACGGGGAUAGAUUAUUGCAAUUAUUAAUCUUCAACGAGGAAUGCCUAGUAGGCGCAAGUCAUCAGCUUGCGUCGAUUACGUCCCUGCCCUUUGUACACACCGCCCGUCGCUCCUACUGAUUGGGUGUGCUGGUGAAAUGUUCGGAUCGGCCGUUUGUCGCGGUUUCCGCGGCUCGUGGCUGAGAAGUUCAUUAAACCCUCCCACCUAGAGGAAGGAGAAGUCGUAACA